rnacentral:rRNA from 1 species
CCUACGGGUGGCAGCAGUGGGGAAUAUUGCACAAUGGGGGAAACCCUGAUGCAGCGACGCCGCGUGAGGGAAGAAGUAAUUCGUUGUGUAAAGCUCUAUCAGCAGGGGAGAAACUGCCGGUACCUGAGUAAGUAGCCCCGGCUAACUACGUGCCCGCCGCGGCGGUAAUGCGGAGGGGGCAACCGUUAUCCGGAUUUACUGGGGGUAAAGGGGGCGUAGACGGCAGGGAAAGGCUGGAGUGAAAGGCUCGGGGUUAACCCCCGGACAGCACUGGAAACUGGACGGCUGGAGUGCAUGACAGGCAAGGGGAAUUCCUGGUGUAGCGGUGAAAUGCGUAGAUAUCAGGAGGAACACCAGUUGCGAAGGUGGCUUGCUGGAGUGCAACUGACGCUGAGGCUCGAAAGCGUGGGGAGCAAACAGGAUUAGAUACCCCAGUAGUC